AUGUGAAAGUGGAAAACAUUGCACAACAAAAAGCCCCCGGAAAGCUGUGACACACCCAUCCCCUCGGCCUGGACGCCAGGCUACUCCCAGAUAAAAGCGGCUCGGCUCUCCUGCUGCCCGACCGACUGUAGAGGGGCCAGGCCCCUCUUCCCGCUUCCCAGAAGUUCUCCUUUUGGGAAUCACCCAAAGCAGUUUGACUCGUGGCUGACGGCUUCUCUUCCCUUGAAUGAGAACGUUCACCAGUUACACAGUGUCUCCGAACCAGUAUAAGCCAGUAUAAACGACUUUCUUUGCAGGGGCCUCUGCCGGAUGAGUCAAAGACCAAAAAGUCUACAGAAUCAGGUGUCGAUGACCUCAGCAAGAGUGUUUUCGGUCCCACCAUGACAAAUGCUUAUCUGGGGGAAACUAAGUUCCUGUACUGCAGGAUAGUCAAGUGGUGCAGCAACAGGAACCCGGUGCACUAACACGAAACUCAGCUUUGUUCUUCCGAGGCCUGGGGAAUAAACGCACCUGCUCAGGAUGCCAGAGAUGCCAUAAGCCAAGGUGUGAGAGUAAUUUGCUUUCGAAAAAGAACAUGUCCGACAGAAGAGAAGGCAGACCCUGAAAGAACACAUCUCAGCCAGAUCUUUCACAAGGGAAGAGGGCCGUGUGACGAUGAGGGCAGAGUCUGGGUGAUGCAUGUACAGGUCAAGGAACACCAAAGUUUGCCAGCCAACCACCAGAAGCUAGGAGAGCAGCCUGGGACAGACUCCCCCUCACAGCCCUCCAAAGGAACCGACCCUACCAACAUCUUAAUCUUGGAUUUCUUGAGAACAGUGACACAGUAAAUUGCUGUUAAGCCACCCAGUUUGUGGUACCUUGUUGUGAUGAUCCCAGGAAACUAAUACAAAUGCCUUCAGAUGCCGGGCAAGCAUCUGACAUGAGUGAAGUGGGUGAGGCUCGCAGGCUUCCACGGGGAGGGCUGUGCCCGCGAAUUCCCCUGAAAGGGAUGUGUCCC